GAGGCGUUCCGCGCGGAAGAACGCAACCAGGCCCUCGCCUAACCGCACGCGGCGCACGGCGGUCACCGAGUACGCAUGACCCUUCACCAGGCCGCAGUCCAGGCGCGCCUCCAUCUCCGUCGAGGCCAGAGCCUACGGUCGAUGGACUCGGAGACGCCGCCCGUGAAGUCCACGAGGGCGUCGCUCGUGUUGCCGCCAUCCAGCGCCUCGUAGCAGCCGCACAGCCUGGGGGACGUGGGACACGCGGUGGGAUGAUGGACGAUAAAACUAAUAUAAUACAGUAAAACGUUG